GGACAGCUCCUGCUCCAUCCCAGGGACAGGGACAGGGACAGCUCCAGGAGCUGCUCCCAGGGCUGCUGGGGCUCCUCCCAGGGACAGGGACAGGGACAGCUCCUGCUCCAUCCCAGGGACAGGGACAGGGACAGGGACAGCUCCUGCUCCAUCCCAGGGACAGGGACAGCUCCUGC